GGCAACGGAUAUCUCGGCUCUCGCAUCGAUGAAGAACGUAGCGAAAUGCGAUACUUGGUGUGAAUUGCAGAAUCCCGUGAACCAUCGAGUCUUUGAACGCAAGUUGCGCCCGAGGCCAUUCGGCCGAGGGCACGUCUGCCUGGGCGUCACACACCGUUGCCUCC
rnacentral:rRNA from 1 species